rnacentral:misc_RNA from 1 species
AUUUUUUUUUUAAAAAAAAUUAUUCAAGUAUUUUUCAUUUUUUGUAUUUUCUUUAUUGAGAAACAAUUUUCUUGGAUUAUCGCCUUGAUCUAGAAGAACUUAUUAACUUAUUUGCAAAGAUAGCUUAUAUUAUUUUCUAUCCAAAGAUGAAAAACAUACAAAAAAUGAGGGGGAGAAGGGUAUUGGUACAUAGAGGAAGAGACAUGGUGAAAGAGAAAUAAAGGAGAGAGGAUCAAGACAAUUUAGGUGUAAAAAAAUAAACAGAUGGACUAAAAAGUUUAUAGAACUAAAUUACAAAGAUUAAUUAAUUUGUUUUUGAAAAUAUAGGGAUGAACUAAUUAUUUUCACUAAAAUAGAGAGACUAAAUUGUAGUUUGAUUGACAGAAAAAAUUGAUGGAAGAACUAAUCAGUUUAGGACUAAAAAUAGAGAAUUAAAUAGUGUAUUUUUUAAAAUAAAAAGACUAAAUAA